rnacentral:lncRNA from 1 species
AGUGCCCCGCCCAGCAUACAGUAUAAAUACAGUGCUCAGCCUUGCCAUCUCCCACAGAGCGUGCCAGACCAGAAACAACUCCGCUCCAGAGAGAGUAAAGACGCAAAGAUGAAGGUGUCAUAUGUGGCCGCUUUCCUCAUCGGGCUCCUCUCCCUGGAGAGCACCAGAGCGGCUCCGUUGUUGUGGUCUGUGGGCUCUGGUAGCGUAAAGACCGGUGACGUGGGCCACGGCAGCUUUAACGACAACAGCAAAAACAACAAAUUCUGGUCAGUGGGCUCUGGGAGCGUAAACACCGGUGACGUGGGCCACGGCAGCUUUAACGACAACAGCAUAAACAACAAAUUCUUGCCAGUGAAAAACAACAAAUUCUGGUCAGUGGGCUCUGGUAGCGUAAAGACUGGUGACGUGGGCCACGGCAGCUUUAACGACAACAGCAAAAACAACAAAUUCUGGUCAGUGGGCUCUGGUAGCGUAAACACUGGAGACGUGGGCCACGGCAGCUUUAACGACAACAGUAUAAACAACAAAAUCUUGCCAGUGAAAAAGAACAAAUUCUGGUCAGUGGGCUCUGGGAGCGUAAACACCGGUGACGUGGGCCACGGCAGCUUUAACGACAACAGCAAAAACAACAAAUUCUGGUCAGUGGACUCUGGUAGCGUAAACACCGGUGACGUAGGCCAUGGCAGCUUUAACGACAACAGCAAAAACAACAAAUUAUGCUUAGUGGGCUCCGGAAGCAAAAAGACCGGCAAAGUGGUCGACAGCAGCUUUGACAACAAAAGCGUAAGUAGUAGAGAUUAUCUCUCCAUGCUAUGUAGCUUCACACACAUCUGUGAACAGACCGUGUUUCAGCUAGUUUGAUGUCUCGUAACCUUUGCCUGCGAGGAACACUGGCUGCAUUUGCCCAUGUUGUAAAUGCAGCAUGGAGAGUCCUCCCACUCCACAGGCUCCUCCCCACAGCUCCCAUUGAACGGUUUCCAGACAAUGGGAGUGCCGAUCUGUUGCUUAUAGUGGGGGCAUAGCUUCAUGGCCCCUCUUCCUAGAAGCUGGACCUGCUGCUGGCUGCUUCCGGGGCGCAACGCGGUGUCAGAAC